UGUGGCCCUCCGAGCCACAUCGCUUUAGUUAGAGGGAUGUUGGCUCCAAGUUUCUUCAGGUGAGAAUGACGCAGCAAGUAAUCUGCAUCUUCCCUACAUCUUCAUUCACGGAGCUAGAGCUCGGUAUCAGGGCAGCGCCCACACCUGACUACAGCCAUAAGGCAGCCCUGCCCAACAGCCCUGGAGAGUCCUGGAGGUAAGAGGCUGGAGGUUAAGAAAUUGGGGGUUGGAAACAGCUGUGGAAAUCCAACAGCCAGAAAAGGCUUGCCAGCCCGUUUCCAGAUGCAGCUGAGUUUGCUGAGCACCACACAGACCCCCGCUGACUGCUGAUGCCCCACACUUGUCUCUGUUGGACUCCUAACCUCCUCCUCUCCAGUUAAUGCUUCAGGCAGCCAAAGGCCUGGGGGACCCACCCCCACCCCUCAAGCAAGCUGUGGAGCUGCUCAGUGCUCUAGGCAGGCUCAGCAGCAGCAGAAGCAGCAGAGUCCAUUGCUCAGCGCUUUGUGAUGAUGCUGCUUCUGAGUAACAGAUGGCAGACAGUUACACAACACCACCGCCAAGCUCUUGAGAUGGUGCAGCCCCACACUGCCUGCUGCUGAGGUUCCAGUUCUGCCCCUGUAUAACGGGGCAUUCCUGCGAAGAACCCCUCAGCUGACACAUUUCCGGGUCUAACCCGCCUUUUCCCCUGGAGUUGGACUCUGCGCCGCCGCUCCUGUCGUUGAUCCUGUCAAAAAAAUCACACGUCCCGGGUCUCCUACCAAGGCUUUUUCUGCACUGAGCAAUGGAAUCAUCUGGGCUGAGUGCAAAGGAGAAGGAGCUAUUACCAACCCCAUGCCCGCCCUUUCGGCCACGUUGGUACCUUUUCAUCAGAGGAAUAAAGCCGGAUGGAUGCCUUUUCCCCUCAUCUUUGGUGAGGACAUGGGUGGCUCUAUCUAUGUAUGGGUUAAGGCACCUGGCGGUCACCUCUCUGAACCUUUAUCUAUUAAACAUUUUACUUUAUGCUCCCACC